GGACCUUCGGGCCUCUCGCGUCAGGAUAUGCCUAGGUGGGAUUAGCUAGUUGGUGAGGUAAGGGCUCACCAAGGCGACGAUCCCUAGCUGGUCUGAGAGGAUGAUCAGCCACACUGGAACUGAGACACGGUCCAGACUCCUACGGGAGGCAGCAGUGGGGAAUAUUGCACAAUGGGCGCAAGCCUGAUGCAGCCAUGCCGCGUGUGUGAAGAAGGCCUUCGGGUUGUAAAGCACUUUCAGUCGUGAGGAAGGUAGUGUAGUUAAUAGCUGCAUUAUUUGACGUUAGCGACAGAAGAAGCACCGGCUAACUCCGUGCCAGCAGCCGCGGUAAUACGGAGGGUGCGAGCGUUAAUCGGAAUUACUGGGCGUAAAGCGCAUGCAGGUGGUUUGUUAAGUCAGAUGUGAAAGCCCGGGGCUCAACCUCGGAAU
rnacentral:rRNA from 1 species